CAAUGGUAUAUAUAUGGUAAACUAUACUGUAUCAAAUAAUUUGUCCGUGGUAUCUAAUAAUUAACUGGUUAAUUGCUGGUUAGUUAUUGUACCGUUUGAUAUCAAGAAAAGAAGGAUCAAACAAAAAAGAUUGUGGAAGCAAAACAUAAGAUCCGUGAUUAGUGGAUUAAUAACAAAAUUUCUAGAAUUUGGAAGAUGCAUAUAUUUAUUUGUUUAUAUUGUCUUCUUGCCCGCAUACAAAUCUAGGACUGACUUUCUUUAGCUGUUCUUAUUUGUCUUUGUUCUACAAUGACAGGGUCGCUAGCACUUUGGUUAGGCUCGAGUCGCCUUGCCUUCAUCACGUUACUUGAUUUAAUGUUUUUUAAAUAAAACAUUAGGUAAGGUUCAUCACAUAUUCACAUUAUUACCCAAUUUGGCUGUUUUCGUGAAAAAUAUCAUUUUAUUCUACGAAAGUCGAAAAUAGAUAUAUUACGUAUGUGCACCUUUUUAUAUGAUUUGUAUUAUUUUCUACAACUUGCAUAUUUUGUGUGUGGUUAAAAUAAAUCAUAUAAACCAAUUCGUUCAUGGGAAAUUUUACUUCUACACUUUCUUUGGUACCACAUUUCAAGUAUACCACUAGUAUGGGGACAUUUUCACAAAUACACUUUUCAUUAAUGACCAAAAGACCAUACUAACCCUAACUUUAUCUCUCUCUCUCUCUCGCGAUCAUCUUCUUUUCCUCUCUCUUUCUCUCGAUCUUUUUUCUUCUUCUCUGCCUCCGAUUCACCGGAGAUCCACCGUCUCUCUCUCGCGAUCUUUUUUCUUCCUCUCUACCUCCGAUUCACCGGAGAUCCACCAUCUCUCUCUCAUUCCACUGGUUCUCUGCGGUUCACACUGUCGACUCCUACUUCUGUACAAGAUUCCCAACUGUUCCUGAGAAACUGUGUUCAAGCUUAUAUGAGAGCCACAACCCUGUCAGCACACAUUUGCUUCGAUGUACAAUGAAUCUGUUCCCUUUAGCGAACUAAUCUCCUCUGAUUCCUUGAUUGUGAAACCUCUGUUUCUCAGUUGUUGAUUUUGUUCCAUUUACUUUUUUACUUGCUUUCUCUCUCACAUACAAAGACCAUAGCUUUUCCACAAGUUUCGUGGCAGAAAAUUUUCAGGCACUCUAUAUCAGAUUUUGAGUGUUUGGUUACUUUAACAGCCUGCUUCUGCUGAUGGAUCUGGAAACUGAAAAUUGAAUAGCUUCGGUUCUGUUGAGAGAAGCAGCAGAGUUGAUGAGACAAGCUGAAAAAGAUGGCGUCCGAGCUUAUCUUGAGAAGCCUAAUGUAAGGCAUCGACCUAACUCGAGGUUUCUCACAGCAACUGUCCUUGGUGUUCAAUAAUUUCAGUGUUGGAGAAGUCUCCGGAGGCGGCUUUAGAUGUGGAUCAGACGAUCUUUGUGGUUGUGGCGGAAGACGUGGAGAGGAGCAAAACGACGGUGUUAUGGGCGGCAAGAAACUUCUCCAGCAAGAAGAUUUGCUUGCUUUACGUCCAUCGUCCUGCUCGGCCUGCCUCCUGCAGUGAGAAUCUUUUGCUUCUCUUUCUUUUUGACUUAACUGUUUUGUGGUGAAUUAUAGAAUAUUUAUGGAUGUUGAAUUGUUCUUGAGUGUAGAUUUGCUCAUGAAUCAUGAUUGAAUCUUACCAAGUCUAUAUAUAUAUCCUUUAGUUGAUUGUGGAUGAUGUUAA